GAUGAACGCUGGCGGCGUGCCUAAUACAUGCAAGUCGAGCGAACAGACGAGGCUCUUGCUCCUUGGACGUUUGCGGCGCGCGUGUGUGUAACAUGUGUAUCACCUACCUAUCUUACUGGUAACUCUUCGAAAAACCGGCGCUAAUCCCGGAGAAUAUAUUGCAGCAUAUUGGUGGAUGGUAAAUUUCGGUUGUUCUGUCACGUAUAGAUGGAUACGCGCCGGAUUAGCUAGUUGGUAAGGUACCGGCUUUCCAAGGCAACCAUGCGUAGGCGACCUGAGAGGGUGAUAGGCGACACGGGAGCGGAGACACGGUCCAGACUCCUACGGGAGGCAGCAGUAGGGAAUCUGACGCAAUGGGCGAAAGCAUGACGGAGUAACGGCACGUGAGUGAUGAAGGCCUCCGGAUCGUAAAACUCUGUUACUAGGGAAGAACAAAUGUGUAAGUAACUAUGCACGUAUUGACGGUAACUAAUAAGAAAGCAACGGCUAACUACGUG
rnacentral:rRNA from 1 species